rnacentral:lncRNA from 1 species
AAGGACCUAUCUGGAGCAGGGGUCACGUGCUAAGACCAGAAGCAGGUGUGGGACAAACCCUCUAGGACGAGUUCUUUGACCAGAGUUCAUCACCGGAGCUGCUCCAGAGAUGGCCAGGCCUCCCCACCUGCAGGUUGACAUGAAGGACUGGGACAUCAUAGGACCAAGGGGGUGGUCUCUGGAGCCUCUGAGCAUGUUUCAGACUUAGG